GACGAACGCUGGCGGCGUGCCUAAUACAUGCAAGUAGAACGCUGAAGAGAGGAGCUUGCUCUUCUUGGAAGAGUUGCGAACGGGUGAGUAACGCGUAGGUAACCUGCCUUGUAGCGGGGGAUAACCAUUGGAAACGAUAGCUAAUACCGCAUAACAAUGGAUGACCCAUGUCAUUUAUUUGCAAGGGGCAACUGCUCCACUACAAGAUGGACCUGCGUUGUAUUAGCUAGUAGGUGAGGUAACGGCUCACCUAGGCGACGAUACAUAGCCGACCUGAGAGGGUGAUCGGCCACACUGGGACUGAGACACGGCCCAGACCCCUACGGGAGGCAGCAGUAGGGAAUCUUCGGCAAUGGGGGCAACCCUGACCGAGCAACGCCGCGUGAGUGAAGAAGGUUUUCGGAUCGUAAAGCUCUGUUGUAAGUCAAGAACGAGUGUGAGAGUGGAAAGUUCACACUGUGACGGUAGCUUACCAGAAAGGGACGGCUAACUACGUGCCAGCCGCCGCGGUAA
rnacentral:rRNA from 1 species